GUACCAACUUUUUUUUCGUGGCAAGAGCCAAAAGUUGAGUGCAUUUCUUGGGGCAUUUCUUGAGCAAUUUUUUGGCUAAUUUAUUUGCACUUCACUCUGCGUGCCGCUGCCUCAAGUUAAACACUUGACUCGGGAAAGACUCUAGGACUGGCUUUUUCUCUAUGGGUUUUCUGUUGGUUUUCUGACUGGCUUUUUCUUUGGAUUUUCUUUGGCACUGUUCUCUGGCUUUCCACUGGCCUGCGUCCGUCCUGAUC
rnacentral:lncRNA from 1 species